rnacentral:lncRNA from 1 species
CCUCCCUUUGGGGCUCCCGCUGAGCCGGGCUCGUUCCCGCAGGGACGCGUCGGAGCUGUGGCUGACGGCCAUGUCCGUGGGGACCGCGGUGCCCGAGAUCCUGCAGGAGCUGCUGCGGGUGCUGGGCUCGGCGCCGCUGAAGGAGGCGGGCGAGAGCGGGGGGCUUCCCCUGACCGCGGCCACGGUGCUGCGCCGGAUCCUGCGGUGCCGGAGGUACGGCAGGCAGCUGCACGCGUUGUUCCCGGGGCUCUUCCUGGAGCUCGUCUUCCAGAUGCUGGGCAACGCUGAGGAUGAGGACGUGGACGAGGUCUCCCCUCCCAUCGGGAUGGUGCUGGACUUGGCUCUCGAUUUGCUGCUGUUUGCGGAUCUGCACGAGCUGGUGGAAGAGAUGGACGCCUGCGGGAUCUGGAAGCAGCUGCUGUGCCGUGACACGUGGCGGUCCAGCAUAUACUCCCUCGCCAGGGUGAUGGUGCAGAAAUGCCGGCACCGGCGCGCCCGCAUCUUCGCCCACCUGCAGAAGCUGCUGCUGCACCACGAGCUGCAGUGGAGGGAGGUCUCGGCCAUCACGCUCUACGUGGAGCUGCGGCGAUACGAGGAGCUGCGAGUGGAGGACACGUGCGCCGAGCAGAUCUUCCGGAAAUACAUCCGCAGCGAGCAGCUCAAGAGCUGGGAGCAGGCGGUGUACGGGCUACGGAGCCUGUACUCCGGCAGGCAGCAGCUGCUGCUGCCCGACGCGCUGCAGUGGC